rnacentral:rRNA from 1 species
GACGAACGCUGGCGGCGUGCUUAACACAUGCAAGUCGAACGGAAAGGCCUCUUUCGGGGGGUACUCGAGUGGCGAACGGGUGAGUAACACGUGAGUAACCUGCCCUUGACUUUGGGAUAACUUCAGGAAACUGGGGCUAAUACCGGAUAGGAGCUCCUGCUGCAUGGUGGGGGUUGGAAAGUUUCGGCGGUUGGGGAUGGACUCGCGGCUUAUCAGCUUGUUGGUGGGGUAGUGGCUUACCAAGGCUUUGACGGGUAGCCGGCCUGAGAGGGUGACCGGCCACAUUGGGACUGAGAUACGGCCCAGACUCCUACGGGAGGCAGCGGUGGGGAAUAUUGCACAAUGGGUGGAAGCCUGAUGUAGCAACGCCGUGUGCGGGAUGACGGCCUUCGGGUUGUAAACCGCUUUCGCUCAUGACGAAGCUUUGUGUGACGGUAGUGGGUAAAGAAGCACCGGCUAACUACGUG